AAAACGUCCUCAUCAUCUGAUCAAGAGCCUCCAGUCAAACAUCAAGUCAUCCACCGAAAGGACAGUAUGUUAAUGCAAGAGAUUAACAGCAUGUAGAGUCAAGCUGGAGAGCAUUCAAGCCGAGAAACUCAACUUGAGAGAGAAAUUCUCAAAUUAAAAAAAGAAAAUGAGAAUCUAAGAGCACUUAAUAUAGCUCUGCAACAAGAAAUUCUUCCAAUGCUCAAGUGCAGCAUGAACCAGCACACUCUUGUUGCUCAACAACCACAAGAUUCAAGUCAGAAGAAUCCCCCUGAAAAGACACAGGGGCUAGGAAUUAGUUCAGCUGUCCUGACAAGUUGUGGACGGGGGGGCACAUCAUGUUC